rnacentral:lncRNA from 1 species
CCUACGUGACCAGGUUCAGACACAGUCUGCAGCCGCCCGCCUCGCACCCCCACUCUGCAGUGCGGUAUGUGGGGAGCUCAGGGCACAGCAGGCCAGGCCUCCCCGUGGACGUCCAGGAACCAGAACCAAACUGCCCAGGGCCCCAGAGGGGAAGAUGUCUCAGCAGACGGACAGCCGAGGCUCACAUGGCAAGCUCUGGCAGCCUGUCGGUCCCAGGAGAGAGGGGGAGAUGGCAGACGGGAAAAGAAGCCACCUGCUGGGAUGCUGAGACUCGCUUGCAGGAGCUUUUGGAACUGGCUGAGGUCACAGCUGGAACCACUGUGGCCAGCUGGAGUCUGCACAGCCCGAGUUUCCACCCCAGGGUCCCAGUAACUCCGCCCAAAUGUGCACACGAGACCUAUGAGGAGACAUAACUUUCCAGAACCCCCUUUUCUUCCACCAGCCACUUACUCAUCCAAGAACCCACCCCCGAACCUUCCCUAAUAGAAACACUGCAUUAAAGCCAGCGCGGGGAGACAGACGUGAACUGCGCCCCUGUCUCCUUGUGGGUUGGCCUAGAAUAAAAGCUUUUCUUUUCUCAAAAACC